UCAAGCUACAAAGAGCACAAGGGGAAUGCCUUGGCACCGAGAGCCGAAGAAGGACGUGACUAACUGCGAUAAGCUGCGGGGAGCCGUAAGUAGGCUUUGAUCCGCAGAUUUCCGAAUGGAGCAAUCCGGCAAGAGGAAAGUCUUGUCAUCAUAUACUGAAUACAUAGGUAUAUGAGGGGAACCGCCUGAACUGAAACAUCUAAGUAGGGCGAGGAAGAGAAAUCAACUGAGAUUCCGUAAGUAGUGGCGAGCGAACGCGGAAGAGGCCAAACCGAGAGUAGUAAUACUUUCGGGGUUCGGACAGAAUACGGUAUUGUAAAGGUUUAGUGGAAUGGAAUGGGAAGUCCAACCGAAGAAGGUGAGAGUCCUGUACACGAAAAGCCUGAACAGCCAUCUGUAUCCAGAGUACCGCCGGACACGUGAAACCCGGUGGGAAUAUGGGGGGACCAUCCUCCAAGCCUAAAUACUACUCGGUGACCGAUAGUGAAGAAGUACUGUGAAGGAAAGGUGAAAAGUACCCCUGACGGGGAGUGAAAAAGAACCUGAAACCUUGUGUUUACAAGCACCGAAAGCUCAUCAAAGAGCGAUCGGGUACCUUUUGUAGAAUGGUCCGGCGAGUGAAUGUAACCGGCGAGGUUAAGCACUUAAGGUGUGAAGCCGCAGCGAGAGCAAGUCUGAAUAGGGCGUAUGAAGUCGGUUGUAUUCGACCCGAAACCGGGUGACCUACCCAUGGUCAGGUUGAAGUAAAGGUAAAACUUUAUGGAGGACCGAACCGACUCCCGUUGAAAUGGUAGCGGAUGAACUGUGGGUAGCGGAGAAAUUCCAAUCGAACCCGGAGAUAGCUGGUUCUCUCCGAAAUAGCUUUAGGGCUAGCCUUGAAAUAGAUUACCGGAGGUAAAGCACUGAAUUGGCUAGGGGCCGAGAGGUUACUGAACCUUAUCAAACUAAGAAUGCCGGAUAAUCGUUUUUCAGGAGUCAGACAGUGGGAGAUAAGUUUCAUUGUCAAAAGGGAAACAGCCCAGACCCACAGCUAAGGUCCCCAAGUAUAGUUAAGUGGAAAAGGAUGUGGAAUUGCACAGACAACCAGGAUGUUGGCUUAGAAGCAGCCACUCAUUAAAAGAGUGCGUAAUAGCUCACUGGUCGAGUGACUCUGCGCCGAAAAUUUAACGGGGCUAAACUAUACACCGAAGCUUGGGAUACAUCUAAUGUAUGGUAGGAGAGCGUUCUGUAUGGGGAGAAGUCGUAGCGAAAGCGGCGGUGGACUAUACAGAAGUGAGAAUGCCGGAAUAAGUAGCGAGAAUUAAGUGAGAAUCUUAAUGGCCGAAAGUCUAAGGUUUUUGGAGGAAGGUUCGUCCGCUCCAAGUAAGUCGGGAGCUAAGGUCAGGCCGAAAGGCGUAGCCGAUGCACAUACGGUUGAUAUUCCGUAACCAUCUGUAAUUUAAGCAAAGGGACACUUCAAAAGGGUGUGACCCGGGCGUUGGUUGACCCGGGCGUAAGGGACCGAAAUUAGAGUAGGGAAGCACACUUAGCUGAAGGCGAGAAAAGCUUUGCGUAUAGAAACAGAUGCCCGUACCGCAAACCGACACAGGUGGACAGGAAGAGAAUUCUAAGGCCAGCGGGAGAAGGGUAGUUAAGGAACUCGGCAAAUUGACUCCGUAACUUCGGAAUAAGGAGUGCUCGAAAGAGCCGCAGAGAAUAGGCCCAGGCGACUGUUUAGCAAAAACACAGGUCUCUGCCAAAUCGAAAGAUGAAGUAUAGGGGCUGACACCUGCCCGGUGCCGGAAGGUUAAGAGGAGGAGUGAGAGCUCCGAAUUGAAGCCCCGGUAAACGGCGGCCGUAACUAUAACGGUCCUAAGGUAGCGAAAUUCCUUGUC
rnacentral:rRNA from 1 species